AGUGGGAAAUCUUGAGCAAUGGGCGAAAGCCUGACGCAGCACCGCCGCGUGGUGGAUGAAGGCCUCCGGGUUGUAAACUCUGUCAGGGGGGACGAAUGCCGCGAGGGCAUCUUGACUGUACCCUUUGAGGAAGCUCCGGCUAACUCCGUGCCAGCAGCCCGGUAAUACGGUGGUGGCAAGCGUUGUUCGGAAUUACUGGGCGUAAAGGGCGCGUAGACGGCUUGGCAAGUCAGAUGUGAAAGCCCCGGGCUUAACCUGGGAACUGCAUUUGAAACUGCUUUGCUUGAGUCCUGGAAAGGGUAGUGGAAUUCCCAGUGUAGCGGUGAAAUGCGUAGAUAUUGGGAGGAACACCAGUGGCGAAGGCGGCUUCCUGGACAGUUACUGUCGCUGAGGCGCGAAAGCUAGGGGGCAAACAGGAUUAGAUACCCCGGUACUCCUAGCCGUAAACGAUGGGCACUUGGUGUUGGGGGUAUUGACCACCUCGGUGCGAAGUUAACGCAUUAAGUGCCCCGCCUGGGGAGUACGGUCACA
rnacentral:rRNA from 1 species